rnacentral:rRNA from 1 species
CCUACGGGCGGCAGCAGUGAGGAAUAUUGGUCAAUGGGCGAGAGCCUGAACCAGCCAAGUCGCGUGAAGGAUGACGGCCCUACGGGUUGUAAACUUCUUUUGUCAGGGAGCAAUUGGGUCCACGCGUGGGCUUAGCGAGAGUACCUGAAGAAAAAGCAUCGGCUAACUCCGUGCCAGCAGCCGCGGUAAUACGGAGGAUGCGAGCGUUAUCCGGAUUUAUUGGGUUUAAAGGGUGCGUAGGCGGAAUAUCAAGUCAGCGGUAAAAAUUCGGGGCUCAACCCCGUCGUGCCGUUGAAACUGGUGGUCUUGAGUGGGCGAGAAGUAUGCGGAAUGCGUGGUGUAGCGGUGAAAUGCAUAGAUAUCGCGCAGAACUCCGAUUGCGAAGGCAGCAUACCGGCGCCCAACUGACGCUGAAGCACGAAAGCGUGGGUAUCGAACAGGAUUAGAUACCCGGGUAGUC